GGCUGGGAUACCACCAGCCACGUGCACCAUCAGGGACAGAGCUGCUGCUGGAAAGCAGUGCGUUCAACACUGGCAUUAGUGCCAGAGGAAGAGACCUGAGAUGGAUCCCAAACACCAACAGGAACUUUGCAUCUGAGCAUCACUGCUGACAAACUUGGGUGCUCUACUUGCAUGGCUGAUGGUGAAGACCCUCACAAUGCCAUUGAUAGAACGGAAGACCAAAUACCAGUAAAUCUCUGAUGCCAGAAAGGCCUGCUCAUGUCUGCAAGAUGAGUUUCUCAUGGCUCUGUGAUGAUAAUGUGUUGAUCCUUAUCCAGCAUGAGCUAUCUACAUCAUCUUCCUUGACUGCUAAGCUCUCAGAGCAAACACUGCUGCUGAGGAACAAAAGUAAGGUUUUCAGACUCGUUUUGGGAAGAAUCUUUCUCAUCCACCACUGCAAGCUGUAGAGGAAAUCGAGUUCACCAACAAGUGUCUUCAUCCUGCUCUGGAGCAGAAGAAAACCGUGAUUACCUGGCAGCCAUUAGUUUACCUGUAGUGGGAGAGCCCCAUCGCUCCACAGCAUCGCUCCUAACUUUUGUCAUGCUGCAAUGAAGCAUCCCUGGAGUUCUGCAAUGGUUCCUAUGUGGCUGGAGUGGCUUUCUUAUUUCAACCUCUUGAGCAUCGAUUGUUGAGUCGCUUCCUCAUCAUUAAAAGCUCGUCAGGGACAAGCUCUGGAGUUCAGAAGCUCUGUGCAGUCACCACGGCCUUCGGAUGCCCCAAGGGCACCAGCAGAGAGGAACGAGUGUGGCGAGAGCGCAGGCAGCUGUGAGCACACUGCAAUGUCAUUGCUGUACAACAAAUGCCAGCACUGAACCAGAGGGAAAACUGAUGGCAUUCGGGGAUCACUGAAUGGAGGACUGGGCAUUCAGAGCUUCAUACUGCCCAGCAGUGAGAAGCAGACAUACGCUUUGCUGAUCUCAUGUACUCCUCCACCAUAAAAAGCUGCUCGCAGUUACAGUGAUGUUUCUAGAAGAGUUAAUCAGCAAGUUCACUUCGCCUGGAUUUGAAAUUCCUGGAGCUGAACGUUCACUUUGUUACAGUACUUAAGGGCUUAUAAUGUCCAAACAGCAUUAUGAACUCCAAGCUCAAGGAACAGUAAAAGUUGUUCAUGCUAUCAGUGGUCAUCUUCUGUAUAAACACCUGAAAGGAAAAGGUGAAGAUUUCAGAGCACCCUUCAGUGGAGAAGAAACUAAAAGACUUAUGGGGAAGUUUCUGGUGAGCUGAGUAUUUCAAAGAAGGGCAAUUCGGAACAUUUUCCAGCACAAGAUCAUUAAAUCUGAGUGAUAUAGUGGGUUUCUUUUGUUAUCUUGGAUAUUAAUUAACAAUUAGCA
ensembl:lncRNA